UGAGGAAUAUUGGUCAAUGGGUGCAAGCCUGAACCAGCCAUCCCGCGUGAAGGACGACUGCCCUAUGGGUUGUAAACUUCUUUUGUAUAGGGAUAAACCUACCCUCGUGAGGGUAGCUGAAGGUACUAUACGAAUAAGCACCGGCUAACUCCGUGCCAGCAGCCGCGGUAAUACGGAGGGUGCAAGCGUUAUCCGGAUUUAUUGGGUUUAAAGGGUCCGUAGGCGGACUUAUAAGUCAGUGGUGAAAGCCUGUCGCUUAACGAUAGAACUGCCAUUGAUACUGUAAGUCUUGAGUAUAUUUGAGGUAGCUGGAAUAGGUAGUGUAGCGGUGAAAUGCAUAGAUAUUACUUAGAACACCCAUUGCGAAGGCAGGUUACCAAGAUAUAACUGACGCUGAGGGACGAAAGCGUGGGGAGCGAACA
rnacentral:rRNA from 1 species